GGUUAUCAAUUGUGAUAAAUUUUCCAUCUCUAGAAAGCUUUUCUCAUUGAGUCUGUACAUAUACCUAUUCAGGAACAAUACUUUGUUUGCAAAGACGAUUUUUAUUCUAUUAGGUACCUAGUUUCUAGUUUUAUCAAGUUUGGUGUUUUUACAAUAGAAGAAUGAAAACAAUUUUACUUUUGAUGCUCGGCUUGUAUUGGGUGUCAGCAGCCGAAACGCGAGCUUUUCGACCAGUUGAAGUUCAGCAGGCUCAACCACUUAAUCUGUAUGAUUCCGAUGUCAGUCCGAAUUCAGCUCCAUCGGGCGAAUUGCAUUUUGAACAAAAUCCUGCUUUUGAAAUACGUGGUUGAUCGGGUCAGAGUUGAGCCAAAGGCGUGAAAUGUUUUGGUUUAUCAGGCGAUUUUGGAAUUCAGCCACUGGGCAGAACAUUCCACUCAAUUCAACUUACCUAUUAAAGAAGGCAAUCCCCUAGACCCUAGUGUUUAUUUUUAAGUAUAUUCAAGAUCCCUACAAUUUUUUUAAAAUUUUCACACCGUAUAGAAACUAAUUUUUGCAUUGAAAUAUUAUAAGCAUUAAAAUUCUGUAAUAAUUAACGGUUCCAAAUUACAUUUGAGACAGGCAGAAAAAUAUAAGGCAUGGUAUUUUUAUUUGAACAUAAGUAAUUCUCCCCUUGAUUUUACCUCCCAUAUGUACCUUAGUAUUACGCAACUGAAGAAGUAUCUCAAGUGAUGAACAAUUCUUCAUAAAUAGGAUACAGAAAAAUCAAAAGGAUCUCCAAAAAUACUUACACCAUCAGGUCAAAUUUUAGAUGCUAAGUAAACUCUUUAUUUUUCAAUUUUUUGGUCAUUUAAAAAAAUAAGGAUUAUUUUCCAUGAAAAACUCAGAAUUUGAUCAAUUUGAGGUGGACACUAAGAAAUCUAAAUUUUGAUUCGUCUUAUUUUCAACCUCUAAAAUCGAUUAAUGAGGGUUUCAAGCUGUUUUGGAAACACCAGCGAAUUUUAAAAUUUUGAACAAUUUAAUUCCAAAACGUGUUUAUACCUAAUUGUUUGGAUCUGAUCUAAUUGAAAAUUUUUUUAAUCCAAUUAUCAAAAUUUUGGUAAAGGAAUGUUGAAUAUGAAACAGAUUUUGAAGACGAUUUAAUUGAUGACUUUUUUUUUUAUUAUCUACCAAUAAAUCAAUUACCUAUAGGUACCUAGAUAUAGAUAAGUACUCAAGUUAUCAAUCAUAAUGAAUAAAAUGCUUUCAAAAAAUGUGCGAAGAAAAUACGAGUUCAUUCUCUCAAACACUUAGCUAUAGUUAGAGCAUAUCAAACAGUAAAAUCAAACAUUUCAGUCAAUAUAGCCAACAAUCUUCCAAUAUUAUGUUAUCUUUGAUGGUUAUCAUAUUGUGAUAAAUUUUCCAUUUCUACUUCUACUAGAAAUAUUUUCUCAUUGAGAAUUCAGAAAAAAUACUUUGCUUGCAAAGACGAUUUUUAUUCUAUAUAAGAAAGAUAGGUACCUACUACCUAGUUUCUAGUUUCGUCAACAUUGGUGAUUUUACAACAGAAGAAUGAAAGCAAUUUUACUAUUGAUGCUCGCCUUGUAUUGGGUAUUAGCUGCGGAAUCACGAUUUUUUCAAGCAGCUAAAAUUCAACAGGCUGAACCAUUAGAUCAGGGUGGCUCGGACCGACACAGUCCGGAUGGUGCAGAAGAAGAACGAACAUGGAUAUUUGAACACUUAACUAGCGUGCCUAUGAAAUAAAUGGUCGACCGGGUCAGAGUUAAGCCAAAGGCUUGAAAUAUUUACCAUGCCAUUUUGGUAUUUAAGGCACAACAGCGCCCUUCUCACUGCGCUGCACUCUACUCAAUUCAACUUACCUAGGUAUAAGUGAAUCGGUGAGAACAGAAAGGGGCUAAGUCCAUUUUCGCACUUUUCAGGAAUAACAAAAAACUGAUUUAUUUGAAAAUCAAAAAAUUUUGGUAAGCAUGCUCAAGGUCAUUGAAAGAGAACCCCAAGACACAAUUUUUAGCACUGUUUAGGAAAAAAAAUAUUCACGUGCGCCGGCGCUGUUGCUGCCUAAACAAAUGGGACUUAGACCCUUUCUGCACCCAAUCGCCAAAAUUUCUCUUGAAAUUUGCUCGGGCACGAAUGGGGCUUGAUUCUACAUCUAGGUACAUCACUUAGACUGCUAUCUCGUUUAAAUUGACCAAAAACCCCUUGAGGUAUAAGAGUUUUUGCCGAAGUUGUUAAUUUUUCUGUCUUUUUUCAGUACAUAGAUGAACUUAAAUUUCAAAAAAUAGUCUUCUCAAAAAUGUUAGUUAUUUUUCAAGGAAUUCAAAAAAUUUUACAAAAAAGUCAUAAAGGCGGAUCCGACCAUUUUCUGCACCCAAAUACCACUUUCCCGGCAGUUUUGCAAAAAUCUGACAUCACCAGUCGAUCCGCCGUACUUUGAAACCCCCCUAUCCGUGAAAAAAAAAUUUCCGAAAAUGUAACUUGGUCCCUUUCUGUUUUCACCGAUUCAAGUAUUAACGAAAGGCAGCCCCCUUAGCGUUUAUUGUCAUAUUUAAGGUACAAUUUUUCUAAAAUUUUUACCCUAAGAAACUAAUUUUUGUACUGAAAGAAUAUUAUAAGAAAUUUGAACAUAAUC